UACAGAGGGGGCAAGCGUUAUUCGGAAUUAUUGGGCGUAAAGAGCUCGUAGGCGGUUUGUCGCGUCGGCCGUGAAAUCUCCACGCUUAACGUGGAGCGUGCGGUCGAUACGGGCAGACUUGAGUUCGGUAGGGGAGACUGGAAUUCCUGGUGUAGCGGUGAAAUGCGCAGAUAUCAGGAGGAACACCGGUGGCGAAGGCGGGUCUCUGGGCCGAAACUGACGCUGAGGAGCGAAAGCGUGGGGAGCGAACAGG
rnacentral:rRNA from 1 species